CGUUCACGGCGAAGUGAAGCGGCAACAGCUCAAAUUUGAAAUCUGGCUUCGGCCCGAGUUGUAAUUUGUAGAGGAAGCUUUUGGCGCGGCACCUUCUGAGUCCCCUGGAACGGGGCGCCAUAGAGGGUGAGAGCCCCGUAUAGUUGGAUGCCUAGCCUGUGUAAAGCUCCUUCGACGAGUCGAGUAGUUUGGGAAUGCUGCUCAAAAUGGGAGGUAAAUUUCUUCUAAAGCUAAAUACCGGCCAGAGACCGAUAGCGCACAAGUAGAGUGAUCGAAAGAUGAAAAGCACUUUGAAAAGAGGGUUAAAUAGUACGUGAAAUUGUUGAAAGGGAAGCGCUUGUGACCAGACUUGCGCCGGGCUGAUCAUCCGGUGUUCUCACCGGUGCACUCUGCCCGGCUCAGGCCAGCAUCGGUUCUCGCGGGGGGAUAAAGGCUCCGGGAACGUAGCUCCUCCGGGAGUGUUAUAGCCCGGGGCGUAAUGCCCUCGCGGGGACCGAGGACCGCGCAUCU
rnacentral:rRNA from 2 species